GGUAAGAUGGCCGAGAAGGUGGCGGGCCGUAGCCCCGAUUACAGAGGUUUUAGUCCUCUUCUUAUCA
rnacentral:tRNA from 1 species